AUAUAUUUUUUUUUUCCCAGUGAUUAACCAGCUCUUAAUGACAACAGUUCUUAUCUUACAACUAUGACAUGAAGAGGGAGCUGUAGCUCUUUUGAGACACAGCUCUGCAUGAAGCAGCUUAUCCAUGCUUUCCGAUCUCUUGUCUUUUUUUUUCUCCCUUUCUCCCUCCCUUGCUCUGUCUCUCAUUCAUUCCCUCUCCCAUCUUUUGGCCAUCGAGCCAGAUAAAUUUAAAUUUAUCGGGCUCCGAAUCUGUCCGAGUGGAGUUAAUCCAUGCAAAUCAGAAGCCCUGGCUGUCCAUGCUUGAUUCACAAAGAGGACUCAGCUACAGGAGGUCACUGGUUCCCAGCUGCUCCUCCCAUUAUAUUUUUCUUCCCCCCCUUAUUGCAGAACUGCUAUAUGUAUACAGGGACUGAAAGGAUCCAAUUUACUGCAACUGCUGCCUGGCUUUUACUUACAACUUUGUUUGAAGGAACUUACCUUCCAUCUGUCUUUGCAAGGUGACAAAUCAUUUACUUUCUCUGAACAUCUCAUCUGGUCCUGAGGAACAUGAAGCCUACUAGACCCAGAACCCCACUUUUCCGGAGGAAGUUACUUUUGAUUCUACUCCUGAAGGAUUGUGUCUGCCCUGCAGGCUAUGCAAAAUAUUACUGAUUCUGAACCUGGAGGGAAAACUGUAAGUUCAUAGACGUUCUCAAACUGUUUUCAAUCAUGGGGUAUGGUCCUCCAGCUAUAUUCUAACUUAUUUUAAGAUGUUCAGUCAGAUGCUUUUGUUUAAACACAUAUAUACACGGAAGGGGAGAGAGAAACAGACAAAGGACAUUCACAGAGAACAAGAAAGCAAAAGAGAGAUAGAACAAGAGACAGGCAGAAAGAACUGAACAAACACAAAUUUUUUUAAAAAUAUCAAUACAGGGAUAGAAAGUGAGAAAUAGAGACCCAAAGAGAUCAAAAAAGAAAGAAAAGACCGGAAGAGAUAGAAAUAGAGUUGGAAGGAGAAAGACAGACUGACAAACAAGCAUUUAUAAUAUGAAUACUACAUGUCAGACACUGCACUGGGUGCCAGAGGAAACAAUCACUACUAUGAAAGACAGAGAGACAGAGAGAAAGAAGAAAAAAAUGAGAGAAUAAGAGGGAAACAGAGACAGACACAGAGAGAAAAACAGGACAGCGAGGCACAGAAACAGAGAGAGAGA